ensembl:snRNA U6 U6 spliceosomal RNA
GUGGUGCCUGCUUUAGCAUCACAUAUGCUAAUAUCGGAAUGAUACAUACAGUAUUAGCAUGCCCCCUUCACUAGAAUGAAACACAAAUUUGGGAAACAUUCUUUUUCUUU